rnacentral:siRNA from 1 species
GUUGUAUGAGUGGCCUAUUGCAUC